UUGCCAUCAGGUAAUGCUGAGCACUCUAAAGAGACCGCUGGUGACGAGCCAGAGGAAGGUGGGGAUGACGUCAAGUCCGCAUGGCCCUUAUGCCCUGGGCUGCACACGUGCUACAAUGGUCGGUACAGAGGGACGCCAAACCGUGAGGUGGAGCAAAUCCCAAAAAGCCGACCCCAGUUCGGAUUGCAGUCUGCAACUCGACUGCAUGAAGUUGGAAUCGCUAGUAAUCGCGAAUCAGCAGGUCGCGGUGAAUACGUUCCCGGCCCUUGUACACA
rnacentral:rRNA from 1 species